GAGGGAAGGCCCCUCGGUUUCGGUAACCAAAUACUGAAAUCAAACUACCCUAUGCGGCUUUCAUUAAGAGUGUUGGUCGUGAGCGAUAGGGAAAAGGCAGAAUUAAAUCUG
rnacentral:ncRNA from 1 species